UCCAUGGCCUAGAGGUUAGAGCAUCUGCUUCAGAUGCAGGAGGUUGCAGGUUCAAAUCCCAGCCAGAUCAU